rnacentral:rRNA from 1 species
ACCUUACCAGCUCUUGACAUCUUCUGACAACUCUAGAGAUAGAGCGUUCCCUUCGGGGACAGAAUGACAGGUGGUGCAUGGUUGUCGUCAGCUCGUGUCGUGAGAUGUUGGGUUAAGUCCCGUAACGAGCGCAACCCUUGUUGUUAGUUGCCAGCAUUAAGUUGGGCACUUUAACGAGACUGCCGGUGAUAAACCGGAGGAAGGCGGGGAUGACGUCAAAUCAUCAUGCCCCUUAUGAGCUGGGCUACACACGUGCUACAAUGGAUGGUACAACGAGCAGCGAUCCCGCAAGGGCUAGCUAAUCUUUCAAAGCCAUUCUCAGUUCGGAUUGCACUCUGCAACUCGAGUGCAUGAAGUCGGAAUCGCUAGUAAUCGCGAAUCAGAAUGUCGCGGUGAAUCCGUUCCCGGGUCUUGUACACACCGCCCGUCACNACCACGAGAGUUUGAAACACCCGAAGUCGGCCGGCCAACCCUAUGGGAG